CCUUAGAACCAGUGUGGUUGGACACAAGAAGCUCUGGAUCACGGCCUACUAGGUGCAGCAACUCUUCACAGCUUUGCGCACACUUCACACUUCAGCUUCACCUCUCCAUGGAACCGGUUUGAAGUCUCCCCCUCUCAACUGACUUCACAGCCAUCCUAGAGAAGCUAGGACACAACCAGAUCAUCUUCAAAACACCAGUGAGGCUGAUCAACACUUCACACACGGCUUGCCCUCUUUAUAGAACUGGUUUGGAUAUCCCCUUCUCAACAGACUUCACAGCCACCUUAGAGAAGCUAGGAAAUGACCAGGAACACCUUUAGUGAGGCUCAAGCAAUGGUACCUGAUACAUUAUCCCAAAGGUGCAUCAGAACCUAUCAAAAACAAGACAAUGAAUAUCCUGCAUCACACUUGAUGCACACAAUCCCAUAAUUCAAUCAUGAGCAUCUUAAGUAUCUUUUCAAGCACAAGCAAUGAAUAAGAUGAAUGAAAAAGAUUGAAGAAAGAGUUUAAAAGUCUAAGGGAACUUCCCUUGUGUUUUUGUGAGUUUCCUAACUCGGCCAAUGCACCAUCUUCAUGGCAUCAUCAACUUCUUGGAAAGGCAGAAUGGAUUCAUCAGCUUCUCCUCAAUCACCUCUCAUUGAAGCCGCAUUGAUGGAGAGCCUUCUUCCUCACUCGCCAAGACUGCUCUGAACAGCCUCUUACCUAGACACGCCACUGACUUGGUCCGGUUGAUGAUCCUUUGUAGAAGCCUUUGCAAAGACUUGUUACUGACCAUGGAUCAUAUGCAUUAAGACUCCCCCUCAAGCUUAGAACCGAGACUAGAAGGAGCUAAGCUUGUGAUGAUCCUAUGCAUCUCCAUGGUCUAAUAACUAUCAUCUUUUAUGAUAGCUUUCUUCUUGUGAGUUUACUCUCUUCCUUAACCAGGAACUAGGGUGUUUGAAUCACCAUAGAGAGCCUCACAAGACACACUUCUCAUUGCAUAAUGACCCAUGCUACACUUCCUGUAGACUUUGGACUGGAUAUUUCCAAUGGUAUUAUGCAAUGGCCAUCUCUCAUUGCAUAAUCAAUCACACUACACUUCCUGUAGAUUAUGGACUAACAUGUCCUAGUGAUGAUAUGCAAUGGCACUAGACCUUUGUCUCUACAUUCUUGGCUGUUGGCGAGUUACAUGUAUCACUCCUUGUGUACCUAACACCACCACAACUCAAUGCAAGAUCAGAUCAUUCCAUUGGGAUCAACCCAAGAUCAUCCAUCCUGUUUGAUCACCAAUGCCACAAUAAUAUAUGAUACUUGAAACAAGCUAGACAAUCAAGACAAGAAUAUGCAAAGACAAUGUAUGCUUUCAACAAUACACUGAUCCCUUUAGAUUCAAUUUAGUUUCAGUUAUUAUUUUUUUUUUAAAUGCAACAAUAGAUGAACGCAUUAGAUUACACACUAACCAUAUGAAUGAACCAGAUUCAAUUCAAAUGAACACAAGACUAGAUGGUACUUAUGCAAUCAAGACAAUAAGCGUGACUAUGAUUCAAGUAGCUUAUGCUUAUGCUCACUAGUUUUAUCACAGCCAAUGAUUCAAGUAGCUUAGACAUACUUCUAAAUGCUUAUAAGACAUCACUGAUGGAUUUAACUAUGGCAUAACAACACUCAGAACUGGACAGAGUCAAGACAAGUAGAUUUCAAUCUCUAACAAUGACAAUGCAAGUUCUAGAUACUACAAUGACAUCCUAGGUUAUUAUGAUUAUUAAGUUCUCUAAAUGCAAUGCAAGCUUACAUCAGUACAUUUGCAAUUUAGGCUCAUUUUUAAAUGCAUUACUACAUGAAUGCACAAUCUUAAAACAUCAGCUAUAUGAAUGCAACAGGUUCAAUCCAUGAUUAAUAUUAAAGUUAUGCACAACAGUUUCAAUCAGAACCAAUGAUGCAAGCAACUUAGACAAUUUCUAAUUGAUGCAAGACUUUCAUUGAUGGAUUAAACAUAGACAAUAGCAUCAGAUAACACUAGGAUUGAACUUAGACAGUAUGAGAUAUGCAAAAUAACUUAUCAAUCAUGAUGCAAGUAGCAGAGACAUUCUACUCAAUUCUACAACACAUUCAUGAUGAUUCAAGUUUAAGACCACACCCAAGACAAUGCAAUAAACAGACCGUGAGUUUCUGGGACUCUAGACAUUACUUAUUAUCAAUAAGACAAUGCAGUAACAACACAAUUUCAGUGCAAUUAGCCUAGACAUUCUACUAGAAGCUAUAAACUCUUAAUGGAAUUAGGGAAAGCACAUAGUAUAAUCAGGAGAUAAAACUAUCAAGACAUAUUAAGGUAGAUGAGAUUAGGUUUACUCCCUUGGUUAAGAUGAUGAGGAGUGGUUCUCAACGUUACCACUUGAAUCCUUACUUCUUCUUCUUCUUCUCUUAUUGCAAUCACCCUUCUGAAUUCACCACCAUGAUGGAAUGCUUGUGGAUGCUUCAGCUACUUCUUCAAUCACCUCACAAUAGAAGCCGCCUUGAUAGAGUAGCCUUCUUCUUCACACAGCCAAGAGUGCUCUGUCUUAGUUUGAGCACCCUCUUGAAUAGGCACGCCACUGCCUAGACCCGGUUGGCUUCUUCUUCUGGUACUUGCAAUGUUGAGAAGAAGAACACUAGUGAGUUUUACAACCAUCUGUGCUUCUCCCUUCUUGUAACACCUCUCCAUUGUACACACAAUGGGCAUCUUCUUUCUCUUUCAACUUGGAUUUGAUGAUGAACUAGGAACACCUUUUGUGAACCUGAAACAUCACUCAAACUCUAGCAAAGAUAAGACACAAUUGCAUUGGGAUCAAUCCUUGACUUCAUCAAGUUUGAUCACCAAUGUCUCAAGCUUUAUAACAUUAGAUAGAAUCAAGACAAUGUCAAGUUCUUAUCUAUGCAAGCAACCAUUCUCUAAAUACUAAACAAGACCUUAUCAGAUUCAAGUCAAGUUACUUAGGCACUCUUAAGAGCUUCUUUACUCAGUACUUAGACAUGAAUCUAAUACUUCAAUGUAAGACAGCCACAAGACUAUAUGCAACAGCUUUAAAUUCGGUUUCACUCCAUGUAUGCAAGCAGAUUUAAUUAAUCACAACAAGCAUCACUAUGAACCGGAGCUAAGCAUACUAAACAAUUUCAAUACCCAAACAAGACUCUUAAAGUAUCCUGGGACAGAUUCUAAAGCAACUUCAUUUUAGCAAUAUUUUAAACAAUCCUCAGGUUUCCAAUAACAUCACAACAAAACAACCUGUUCAUACACUCAAGCUUUAUACAAGAGAAAGAGAUUUCCUUACAGCCAAGGAACUAGUGUUAGUUCCUUGAAACUCCAUAGAACAUGGCAAGACAGUGAGCUGUUGGUGUCGAUUCCAACUUCUCCUUCUCCCAUGGACCUUUCUCUUGAACUUUCCAUGUCAGUUUUCAGAGUACCAGUACUUGAGUGAUGUAAGAACAGAUGAGAGAUUGUUGUGUGAUGAAGUAUGAAGAAUAGAAAUGAGUUUAAGAGAAUCAAAGAGAGUAUGGGAGAGACUGAGAACGUGUAUGGGAGAUUAGAGAGAGACUUAGUAACCAGAGAAUAAGAUCCAAGAACAAGUUUAUGAAGAAGAGAGACUCUCUCAGCUUAAGGGUUUACAAAGUGAUCAUAAGAGGCUUAUAUAUGCCUUUACACAACUCAGAUCACAAACCUAGAUCCUAAGGCUGUAAAUACAAGAUAGAAUGGAUGGUAAGGAUGAGAGAAGACUGGUCUUGAUGUUCUGGUUCUUAGCUGGCGACUUGAUCCAAUGUAAAGGGCUCAGAUUGCUUCAUUUGAAUUGAAUGGAUAGGAUGAGUCAAGGCUGUAAAGGUAAAGCACCUUUACCUUUCCAGCUCAUACCAACAGCUCACCUUAUCCAUUUGAAUCUUCCCUUGCCUCCAAGAGUCUCCAACGGUCACAUGAUUCAACCUAAGUCGCGCCCACACAUUGCACAACUUGGGCAAGGCUGAUCCGGGUGAUGACCGAACCAGAUAGGAUGUACGGACGCUGUACGGCCUUGAGGUCCGUACACUCGCCCUAUGCCUUCAUCCAACUUCCUUCUAAGGUUGACCCUUACAACGCCCUAUCUUUGCACCAUACAUCCAUCUUCUCUCUAACUCCUCCAAAGCCUUCACAUGAUCAGUAUAAGUCUUUCCUAGACUUAACUUCACAAGAUAACUACUUCAGAACACUUCUGAAGCUUGAUUGAACUCUUCUAGACAUCUUCUAGAGCUUGCCCUAUUAUUGUACAAGCUCCAUCUUCUCUUCAGUUCAACACUCCCCCUCAAGCUUAACUUUAGUUGAUCCUAAGUUAAGCUUGGAACUCUGAAGAGUCUCCCUCAUUAAAAACCUUACAAGGAAAACCCAUUGGGACAAAACCUUGCAAGGGAAAAAGAGUAGAGCUCUCCAAAGCCUAGGGAUUAGCCAGUGAGCUCUUGUGCCUUAGAACCAGUGUGGUUGGACACAAGAAGCUCUGGAUCAUGGCCUACUAGGUGCAGCAACUCUUCAGAGCUUUGCGCACACUUCACACUUCAGCUUCACCUCUUCAUGGAACCGGUUUGAAGUCUCCCCCUCUCAACUGACUUCACAGCCAUCCUAGAGAAGCUAGGACGCAACCAGAUCAUCUUCAAAACACCAGUGAGGCUGAUCAACAAUUCACACGGCUUGCCCU
rnacentral:lncRNA from 1 species